GCACUGUGCUUGAUACCAGCUGCCAACUAGACAUCGAGCCAUUGAUCACUACCUGUUCAGCCCAAUGAUCUAGCCAGAUUUCUAUCCACCUUACAGUCCAUUCAUCCAAUUCAUACCUUUUUUAGCUUGCUGGCAAGAAUACUGUGGAGACC